GCCCGGGUGGCGAAACUGGUAGACGCAUGGGACUUAAAAUCCCCCGGCCGCAAGGCCAUGUGGGUUCGAUCCCCACCCCGGGCACCA
rnacentral:tRNA from 3 species